rnacentral:lncRNA from 1 species
AAGAUGGCGCCGCCCAGGCGGCUCUGAGGGCAGAGCUGAGGUGCGCUGGGGGCCGAACCCACGAGAGGGGCGAGCCUGCAGCGCUCAGGACUUGAACCCCGGGCUGGUCUCCUGUCCCGCGAGCGAGCGCAAUGACUCUUAUCUUCAAUAGAAGCACUAUUUGAAGUUGAAAGUGGAGCUGGGCCGGAAGCUGAGGAUGGACCUUACUCUUAGUUUUUUUUUUUUUUGGUCUUUUGUCCUUUUAGGGCUGAACCCACUGCAUGUGGAGGUUCCCAGGCUAGGGGUCUAAUUGGAGCUGUAGCUGCUGGCCUGUGCCAGAGCCACAAAAAUGCCAGAUCCGAGCAGCGUCUGCAACUUACACCACAGCUCACGGCAACGCCGGAUCCCCAACGCCCUGAGUGAGGCCGGGGAUUGAUCCCACAACCCCAUGGUUCCUAGUCAGAUUCAUCUCCACUGUGCCACAACGGGAACUCUCCCUAGGUAUUUUUUGAAGAGAAAUUUCUUCAACCAUAACAAGCACUAUAAUAGCUAUUUAUUGUCUUCAGGCUUAAAUACUACAAUGAUGUAUAAAGAAAACUUGUAAGUUAGCAGCUUGUGAUGUUACGACUUGGAGUUUUUUGUUUUAGAUCCACUCCAAACGUGGAUCUGAGUCCUUAUGGUACGUAAUUGCCAUUUGUUUUUUAUUGAUCCUAACAGAAUAGGAAGGUGGAAGGGCCCUUGGACAUCAGCUUGUGUAUUUUUAGAGAUGAGCUAAUGGAAGGCCCUUUCCUCAUUCAUUCAUUCCUUCCUCCAGCACUCCCUGACCACCACUUCUUAAGUGCCUUAAUUCAUGCCAUGUGAUGUAGUUACAAUGUUAAUAAUGAACUAAAUAAGCAAAGUGACAAUGUAUCUUUGACAGGUGCUAUGAUAGGGGUAAUAUUACCAAGUGUGAGGGGAGUACAGAAGGGGGACAUUCAGUUAGGACCUUGACCUUAAGGUAAGAUUUCCAGCAUAGAAGUUAUUUCCACAGUGAGCAGCAAGAGCCAGAUGGAGAAUGUGAUGAGUGAGAGAUUGUGGUGGACUCUGAAAGUGUGGAGGCUGGAGGGAGCACGUUCCAUUCCGGGAACGCCAGGUGUGGGGAGAAGGGUGGGGAGAGGAACCAACUAUGAGACACAAACGUGAUGAGCCCUGUACCUGAUUUAUUUUAAUUCAAUUUCCUUUGUUCUGGGAUUAAGUUCUUUUUUUUUUGUUGUUUUUUAGGGCUGCACUCGUGGCAUAUGGAGGUUCCCAGCCUAGGGGUCUGAUUGGAGCAGUAGCUGCCAGCCUACACCACAGCCACAGCAACAUCAGAUCCUUAACCCACUGAGUGAGGCCAGGGAUUGAACCUGAAACCUCAUGGUUCCUAGUUGGAUUUGUUUCCACUGCGUCACGACAAGAACUCCUGGGAUUAGGUUCUUAUAAGUCAAAUAGACCUCACUUCUGAGCUGUUGAAAUAUAGAUUAGUUUUUCAGGUGUUGGUAGGUUUUUAUUUCAAAUAGAGGAUGUUUGGCAUCCUCUAUCGUAAGAGUGCUGAAAUCCUAUUUCGUUUUCUUUCUUUCUUUUUUUUUUUUUUUGCUGCACCCUUGGCACAUGGAAGUCCCCAGGCCAGAAAUUGAAUCCAAGCCAGAUUCUUUAACUCACUGUGCCAGGCAGGGGAUGGAACUUGUGCUUCCGCAGUGACCCAAGCCACUGCAGUCAGGUUCUUUACCUGCUGUGCCUCAGCGGGAACCCCGAAAUCCCAUUUUUUCACAUCAGCAUUCUGCUUGAGCCUGGUGGUUCAAGUCCCAGUCCUUGUGGUUCCUUGAGGACUGACUGUACACUAAAGGUCGAUCCUGUUUUCCAAAAGUUAGGAGUUCAGGUUCAGCUUGCAGGCCGCUGGAACACAGGAUAGAAAGUACAAAGUGCUGCCGGCGGCCGUGCCCGUGAAGUGCGGCGCGUCUCAGCGCCCGAAGGGAUGGCUUCCGUGGCUUCCACGCUUCCACGAGCUGGCCUGGCUGAGGCCGCGCCAUCAGGGCGGUUUUUUUGGUUUGUUUUAGGUUCCCAGCUGCUUGGAUGCAGCCGCGGUAGAGAAACGUCCAUCUGUGGAGCGAGGGCCUUGGUGGAGGAGGUGGUGUUUGUGUCGGGCCUGCGGAUGUCGGUUUGGCUGGGCGGCAGGGUGUGGCGGCAGAGGGGCUGCUGCAGGAGGCCAAGGAGCAGGGAGCCCGCUGGAAUCCAGGGAAAAGGGCCUGGGUGACCUCACAGCUCUCCUGGGUGCGGGACACAGAGGUCGCCAUGAGUUGUCCUUGAACCCCUGAUGGGACAGCUGUCACCCCCAGCAAGGAAGGGAAAGCUGGAUGGCUGGGUGUUUAGCCAGAGUUGUGCAGCUCGGAAGCCGCGGGAUGGAGGUGGUGAUGGGCCCAGGAUGGGCUCUGUCCAGCCGUGACACCAGCUGUGAUGCCCUGCUUUGCCGAAGGCCUUCAGAGCCAGCUUCAGGAAUUUGAAGUUUGUUAAGUUUUCUUGGAUAAUGUGGGUCAGUUUUAGUCAUAUUUGAAAUUUUAAUUUAGAGUGUCAUUUGCAAAGCUAACUGCUUUUUCUAGGAAAUAUUACAGAUAUUCAGAGACUCUCAAAUGUUGAUUUUUUUUUAUACUAGCUUUUUAGUCUUUUAAGAUAAAUUUACUUGUUUUUUUCUAUUAACAUCUCUUGGAAAAGGCUUAGUGGCUUUUUUAGGCUGUCUAUUCAUGUGUGUGUGAGAGAGUCACGUUUCUGUAGAGGCUCUUUUCAAAUGUACUUGAAAUCUGUCCAUUGACAAUUUUGGGAAGCAGCUGGGAGUUCCUGCUUCAUUCAUUGGAGUCUUAAGUGUUGCCUUCCUGGUGGGCAGUGAUAAUAAAAUUGACAGUUGAUUUCGUAGAAAGUGUGUCAGAUGCCACUUAUAGAGGAAUUUUUUUAAACAAAUUCAUUCUUUGCCUUCUAAAGGAAACAGCUCACCUUUCUUACUGCAAACCCUACGCCUUCCCUACAGAACACGCAGCUCUCUUAGGGUGUGAUGGUGACAGUGGUCUCUCACAGACCCCUCAUUCUUUUUUUUCUCACUAGUUAUGAGGGAUGCGUUUAAGGCAUAAUGUUUUCAUGUUGUCUGGAUAUUUUAGAAUGAUUUGUUUUGUAUUUCUUUCUUAAAAUUUUUUUUGGGCGUGUUGUCUUAGUUGCAGGUGUACAGCAAAGUGACUCAGUUAUAGAAUGACGUGUUAAACGAGCCACAUGCAGUGCUACUGAGAGCUCUUCUUUGCUUAGAAUUUAUUUCCUCUUCCAGAAACUUCGCUGUGCUCUUUGCAAACCUCUCAUUUCAGUAAUUCUGCUAAAGACGAGUGUGACGUUCUGAUCGACUUACUUGAGCGGGACGUGGUUGCAGCCAUCCCUCCUUUGUCCAGAGCAGUGGGUUCUUUACAGAAAACACAGGAUCUGCAGUGUUCACUCUGUGUUUAGGCAAAAACAGCCUUGUUUUGUGGGGUUUUGGAUUUUUUGUCUUUUUAGAGCCACACCCACGGCAUUUGGAAGUUCUCGGGCUAGGGGUCGAAUUGGAGCUACAGCUGCCGGCCUAUGCCACUGCCACACCGGAUCCUUAACCCACUGAGCGAGGCCAGGGAUGGAACCCGAAUCCUCAUGGAGACUAGUUGGGAUAGUUACUGCGGAGCCACAAUGGGAACUCUGAGUUCUGUGAAGUCCUGGUUCCUUGGAAGGACGAGGGACCUUGUAAAGGAAGGGCCUGCAGUUCUUCCCUCCCGUGGGUGUCUCCCGAGAGCUUCCUUUGCUGCCCACGCACAACACUUCCCUCCCCGUGGGGUUUUGUCCUCGCGCCCAGCCGUUCUCUGGGACAGCAGCUGGUUAAAGUCAGGUCUGACGCUGUCGGCGGGAGCUGACUCAGACGCCUUGGGGCUCAUCCCACAAGACCCCCGUCCCACCCCCACUUCAGAUGCCAUUCAUAGGUGCUGGGUCCCCUGGUCACCCACAGCUUCUGUCCCAUUGGCUGCAAGUUGGAGGUUUUGCAGCCUGUUCCUUGGGUUUGAUUAAUUUGCUAGAGCAGCUCACAGGACUCAAGGAAACACAGUGACCAGGCUAUCAACUGGGAACUGGGUGACUGAGUGAGCAACGUGAGAUGGAAGUCCUUAGAUGUCUGCAUCUUCCGUCUUCCUGCCCUGUCAUCAUCACCACCGGUUUUAGGUAACAGGGGAUGUUGGGCCACAGCACGGGGUCUCUGUCGUUUGUUCAGAGGACGUGUUCCCUGCUGGUCAGAGUCGAGGUUUAGAUUUUACAGCAGAAGUCGGGGUAGCCUAGUCCCUCCACUGCUACCAAGUAAGCAGCUUGUCAGUUUCUUUGCAAGAGUGACAAACAUUUCGGACGCUUUUUCCCUUGUUUUAUGAUGUGGUCUCCCAGAGUGUUGCAUUGUCUUAGAAUGAGCUUGAUUGGCACUUUUUCUAAUUUGGAGGGAAGGGAACGUUUUGUUUCCUGUGUCGGGUCACCCUGGAAGCACGAACGUCACUCUCACUUUGGCAGGUUGUUGUGCUUCGUUACCAGGCCCGUAUUUAAAGUCAUACUUAGCGUCCCUGAGUUUUCUUCCUAAAAGAAUAGUCCUGGGCAAGGCCCUGUAAAUGAUCCACAAGUUACUGACUUAAAGCGUAAAUGCUUUUAAAUACAAUGUUUUAGUUUCAAUGUGCCGCCGUCCUAGAUUGUUGGUAAUAGUUUGUUGCCAGGGAGGUAUAUUGUGCAUUUCUGGGUUGUAAAUGUACGGAUGUGAUAGAAAGGGAGCAGACUAGGACUUGGUUGCUUUGGUUACAUCUCACACCUUUCGCAGCUUUUCCACUGCAGGUCAGUCUCUAACCAUUUGGGUAAUCUUAGGAUUGAUUUCCUGAAUCAGGGUGCUUUUGAGAUCAGUGAAAACAGGUGCUGUUAGAUAAUGGUGGGGGGACAGCAGGCAUAAGCCUGCACCGUCCUGGGGCAACGAGAUGUGUGUCCCCUGCUUGGUCCGCUGGCCUGCGGUGACGACAUCGCCCGCUCACUCUGGGGCUUUAGGACCUUCCCUGUCCCAGCAAGGCUGGAGGCGUGGCUUGUAAAGAACCGAAGUCGCAGGGACCAAGGUUCUGAGGCUCACCCAAGGCCUCACGUCCUCUCGUUUCCCCGCUGACCCCUGCAUCCUGCCUCUCCUCUCUGUGCCCAGAGGAGGAUCCUCUGCGGUCGGGGCCGCUCUGGAUUCCCAAUCUGCUGUGGCCGCACUGCCAGAGGAGACUGGGCGGCAGGUGCAGCAGAGGGGUUUCAGGGCCUUAGGGCGAGUCUCCCUGCGCAGGGCUAGAGGGCUGUCCGAAGGUGCGGGAGGAGGGGCGCUCUCCCUCUUUGAAUUCACUUAAGAAGAGGAACUCGGGGCCUGUGUGGCUGUGUCUGCUCACUGCCCACGGCCUUAUUUUAUAUUGUUUGGGCUUCUAAAACAAGCGUCUGAGUGUUAACAGGAGCAUAAGAAAGCAAUCAGGCGUCCAGAGCAGGAGGCGGGCAGGCUUUUCCGGCCGCUUUCCCAGGUGCAGCCCUGCAGCCUGUCCUUUGGGGGGGCCCCAGCCCCACAGGACCUGGUUAGGGGUUAGGACAGCUGUGGUCAGGUGCCUCGCCUGCCGCCCUGCCCGCCCCAGCAGAGUUCUGGGGGCCUGACGCUCUCGUCACAGAUGCUCCCCGGGGUCCUCGCCCUUUCCAAACCUCUGGUCCUCUGCCCGGCCCUGCAAGGGCUCUGAGCGCCGUCUUCGUCCUCAUGCUGAUUGACUUAGACAUUGCUACCCACAUUUUACCCCAAACAAACCAAAAACCCGGAGACUCAGGAACUUCAAUAAGUGGCCCUGGUUCGCAGGCAGAUUUGGUGUUUGAACUGAGGCCUGCUUGUUCUAGAAUGUUUGUGUUUUCCAGAUCACGUCACGCCAUAUUGGAUAUGGUGGUGUGACGCCUACAGCAGCCUUGAGAAACUGAAAACAUAGUUUACAUUGAAUCUUAUUUUCUAUAAUUAGUGUCCUACAGCCACCCUGCUUUACUCUGGGCAAGGCUUGUUUUCAAGCCCUGGUUGUCCAGUGGUUGAGUUCCUUCGCAUUCUCUUUGGUUCGUUCUGUGCUUGAAAAAGUACAGUUAAUGUGUAAAAGCUUGUAUAAACCCAGUUAGGCUGAAGGAUGCCUACUGUGCAUACACACUGUAUUCAGAGACUGUUUCCAACUUAAUCAGUUUCUUGAUAAAACUUAUGCUUUCGUGUUGUAUUUGCUAAAAUCUCCCCAAACCUUUCCUUUCAAGCGCAGCAUCAGUUUUCUCCUCCUAGGACCACUGUACUGCAGGCUCUGCAAUUUCGGUCUGAGGAAUAUGAAUUUUAAAAGAUUCAUGGUCCCGUCCAAACAGCAGCGUCCAGUCUGUGUCCUGACACCUAUGAGAGCCACAGAAAGAAAGGCUUAUGAAUUACCGUGUUCUGCGUAUGCCGGUGGCCACCUUGUUUAAACAAAUGCAGGUGGUGUGUAAUUGGAAAAUAGGCGGUGGUCAAAGUCAGCAGGACUCGGGAGUGCUUUUUAGUAACUCUGAAUUCUACACGGACCUUAAAAGUGGGUGUUGCUGAGAGGACACAUCUUAGAAGUUCUCAUCACAAGAAGAACACGUUUUGUAACGACACCGGGGGAUAGAUGUUUACUAGACUCACUGAUCAUUUCACAGUAUCUGUACAUAGCGAGCAUGUUAUGUACCCAAACUAAUUAUGUUAUAUGUCAAUUAAUAAAAAAAUUAAC